GAUGAACGCUGGCGGCGUGCUUGAUACAUGCAAGUCGAACGGAGAGUGUAGCAAUAUACUUUUAGUGGCGAACGGGUGAGUAAUGUAUCGGAACGUACCAUUCAGUGGGGGAUAACGUAGCGAAAGUUACGCUAAUACCGCAUAUUCUGUGAGCAGGAAAGCAGGGGAUCGCAAGACCUUGCGCUGAUUGAGCGGCCGAUAUCAGAUUAGCUAGUUGGUGAGGUAAAGGCUCACCAAGGCGACGAUCUGUAGCGGGUCUGAGAGGAUGAUCCGCCACACUGGAACUGAGACACGGUCCAGACUCCUACGGGAGGCAGCAGUGGGGAAUUUUGGACAAUGGGGGCAACCCUGACCCAGCCAUGCCGCGUGAGUGAAGAAGGCCUUCGGGUUGUAAAGCUCUUUCGGCCGGGAAGAAAUCGCAUGGGUUAAUACCCUGUGCGGAUGACGGUACCGGCAUAAGAAGCACCGGCUAACUACGUG
rnacentral:rRNA from 1 species